UAAGUGAACAGACGCGGAAGGCUGAUGGGAAAUGUGCGUUUAAACUGCUUCUGUAAUCGUCUGACACCAUGCUGAGCUCCAUCUACAGCUGUUCUGCAGUAUCUGUGUCGAUAUGAAGUCCAGCGUGGCUGUGUUUACAAGAGAGGAUCCCUUGCCACCUCUUCCGAGCAGGAAGACUGGCUAUCACCCAUCCCGCAGACAGAACCUCACACAGAAAAAGAGCUCCAAAAAAACCCCUGCAGACGACCGACCGGCCUGGCCCUCAACGGACCAGGGAUCUCCCUCCAGCGAGACGGCCUUCCCUUCCAACACGGAUCCGCCUGGACCCUCUGCUGGGGGUUUCAACAUGUCUCCCCCCCACCAACAGGAUUCAGUUCUGGCAAGGUACGUCCAGCGUUUCCGCUACGGCGAGCCCAGGAGCCGGGCGGAGCGCCGACCGGUGUCCCCUGCUGCCGAGAGAGAGGAGGCACGACUCUUCUGGUGGAUGAGUCCCUCGUCUCCUCCUUCUAGUCCUACACCCCGAGACUCAGGAGACAUGGAUGAAACAGCUGCCCUGAAAGAAGACCAGGACCCUGGCAGAGGCGGGGAACUCGGAACCUCAAGACCGUACGGGGAACCACUUGAUAUCAGCUCGUUGGACCUGUCCGACUCCUCUCUGGGGGACCGCUGGGACAUUGAGGGCGUGCAGGAGAGGGCCAGCCGACUGCUACAGAGGAGUGAGAGCUCCGUCAGCAGUGGCUCCCUGGUCGUCAGCUCUGAGGGCCUCGGGGGCUCUGGUUUAUCCUCCCCCGUCAGCGCAAACGAGCCGUUCCGAAGACCCUUCUUUCCCUGUCCGAUUGAACCGACCGCGUGUAACACAAGCUCAUCUUCGGCCCCUGUGGGCCCCUCGCAGAACGGCUACACGCCAUCUGCCUCCAUUAGUCGCCAACGCCCGGAGGAAGACAUCCUCUUCCAAUGGCGGUUGAGGAGGAAAAUGGAGCAGGCCAGCCACUGGCCCCCGGCCCCCUCACAACCGUUCCCUAGCCUCCACCAGCAACAACCACCUUCAGCCUGGCAGAACCCUACUCUCCACCAACCACCUUCAGCCUGGCAGAACCCUACUCUCCACCAACCACCUCCAGCUGGACAGACAUCUAGUCUCCACCAGGCCUCAGUCAGUGGCUCCAUGGAACAUAUGCCUCUUGAACAGCGGCCUCAGGACCAGGGACCCGAACCGUCGCAAAGAACGCCGCCAUCCAUCCUUCCCACGCCACAACACGGGAGAAAAGGCACGCACGGGCCGUGUCCCCCAGCCGCGGGCCCCCCCUCGACAUCCACCCCCCGUCCUGCGUCCAGCCAAACGGCCUCCAGUCACCAGCCGGCGAGGGAGCCUCCUCUCUGGGAUGGAUUCCCUGGUCCGGUGCCAUCGUCUUUUCCAACAACGCCACCCAAAGCGCUAGGCCGGCCCCCGACCGACAUCGCCCCAAAACACUCUCGACGAACCGUGACUAACCCUUCCCCGGCGGCGGGCGGCCGGGAACCAGAGUCGUGUCCCCCCCCGCCCAGCUCCUCGGAGCCGACAAAGGACGAGCGGAACUCUGACAUCAAGGAGCAGAAAACGGCCCACAGGAAGCAGAAGAGGUGCGACGCCGUGCCCACCCUGUGUCUCAUAGGACCACGUGAGCCGUGGGAUGAAGCCCCUCGCCGACUGCUCUGUUCUUUGUCCCGCAGGCGCCCUGCUGGAGACGGGCCGGGCCCUCAGAUCGGGGGCGGCUCGCGGCCCCGCCCGGACAGCAUGGCAGCGUCCGCGCCUCAAAGGUUGUCCCCCGACAAAGACACACGGCAGAGGAAGAGCCAAGCGCUCCACCAGGGGGUCUGUUCUGCUCAAUGUGCCCCGCCGUCUCCCGUCCACCUGGCCUUACGACAGGCGGUUUCCGAGGUGCUGUUCCCCACGCGGCGUGCCUCUUCCUCCUCCUCCGUCCCCCCGCGGGGCGCCCCAGCUGCUCCGCCGCGGCCCCAGGGUCCCGACGGCAGCGCCCAGCCCCCCGAGGAGGUCCUUUCACAGCUGCUCCGCGACGCCGAGGAUUCCGACGGAGCGGAGUUCGGAGACGAUGGUUUACUGCAGGUGCUACGCAAGCAGAGGACGCGAGUGAAGGACCAAAUAAGUCAAGUGGACUCCUUGUUGGAGGAAUUCACACCAGUGGGGGAAGAAGCUUGA
rnacentral:lncRNA from 1 species